CUGGACUGUAUUUAAAAGGUAUCGAGAAUUUUCAUUUAAUUCUGCCGGUUGUUUUCUUAUGAUAAAGACAAACCAACUUGACCAAAUUCGUACACAAUGCCAGGUGGAAUAGGUCCUCUUGCCGGGAACACGACUUCGCCACCACUACCCAUACCACCACCACCACCGCCUCCUCCGCCAAAUCCUAUUGUAAUUAAACCACCAUCUGGACCGACCGGAUUCUGUUAACACUGUUAUUAAGGAAAAGACUUUGUCACAUCAUAUAUUAAAGAGUGUAAAUUGUAGCUUCAUUAACCUAACUAAUAUUUGAUAAAAAAAAUCAUGUGAAAUGUGGAUAAGAUUAAAUGACAUCACGGUAUAUAUUUUAAUAUUCACAUAUAUAUCUUUAAAUUUCAUGAAUCAAUAAAGAUUAUAUUGAUAUAUGAUUUCAAAUGGAGUCAUUGAAAUGCUUUGACUGCCCACAUAUAUUUUUGUGGUAUGGGUACACGUGUCUAAGAUAAACACAUAAAUACAAAUCUUAGGUUGACAAGCUAGUUAUUUUAUUGCAUAAAGAUAUGAAUUGUUACAUGUAUUAAUAAGAAAGACCUUCAGAUUUCAUUGUGCGAUGUUAAAUUAAAUUACAAUGUUACCAUUUAUAGGCGUACCCCAACGAACAAGUUUUAGGUCUCAAGGUGUAAUAGUAUAUAACAUGUGGGUAUACACUUAUCUAUCAAAUCACUGACAAAUUAUUGAAAAAUAUUACAUAAUUAUCUAGGAUGUUUUCAAUUUCAAAAGCGUAUUGUAGUGUUCCAAUGUUGUGCUAUAUUGUAUUAUUCAGUUACAGGAUACUUUAUCAACAUAUAAACAUGAUUACAAAACCAA